CCUGCUUGAUCAUGCCAGUAGUCAUAUGCUUGUCUCAAAUAUUAAGCCAUGUAUGUGUAAGUAUGAACUAAUUCAGACUGUGAAACUGCAAUUGCUCAAUAAAUCAGUUAUAGUUUGUUUGAUGGUAUUUGCUACUCGGAUAACCGUAGUAAUUCUAGAGAUAAUACAUGCAACAAACCCUGACUUUGGGAAGGGAUGCAUUUAUUAGAUAAAAGGUUGACGUGGGCUUUACAUGUUGCUCUGAUGAUUCAUGAUAACUCGAUGGAUCGCACGGCCUUUGUGCCGGCGACGCAUCAUUCAAAUUUCUGCCAUAUCAACUCUCGAUGGUAGGAUAGUGGCCUACUAUGGUGGUGAUGUGUGACGGAGAAUUAGGGUUUGAUUCCAGAGAGGGAGCCUGAGAAACUGCUACCACAUCCAAGGAAGGCAGCAAGCGCUCAAAUUACCCAAUCCUGACACGGGGAAGUAGUGACAAUAAAUAACAAUAUCGAGCUCUACGAGUCUGGUAAUUGGAAUGUGUACAAUCUAAAUCCCUUAACGAGGAUCCAUUGGAGGGCAAGUCUGGGGCUAGUAGCCACGGUAAUUCCAGCUCCAAUAGCGUAUAUUUAAGUUGUUGCAGUUAAAAAGCUCGUAGUUGCACCUAGGGGUGGGUUGGCCGGUUCGCCUCACGGUGAGCAACGGUCUGCUCGUUCCUACUACCGACGAUGCGCUCCUGGUCUUAAUUGGUUGGGUCGUUCCUUUGGUGUUAUUACUUUGAAGAUAUUAGAGUGCUCAAAGCAGGCCUACGCUUGUAUUCAUUAGCAUGGGAUAACAUCACAGGAUUUUGAUCCUAUUGUGUUGGCCUUUGGGAUCGGAGUAAUUAUUAAUAGAGACAGUCGAGGGCAUUCGUAUUUCAUAGUCAGAGGUGAAAAUCUUGGAUUUAUGAAAGACGAACAAUUGAGAAAGCAUUUGCAAAUGAUAUUUUCAUUAAUCAAGAGCAAAAGUUGGGGGUCGAAGACGAUCAGAUACCGUCCUAGUCUCAACAAUAAACGAUGUCGACCAGGGAUCGACGGAUAUUGCUUUUAGGACUCCGUCGGCACCUUAAGAGAAACGUAAAGGAAUUGACGGAAGGGCACUACCAGCAGUGGACCCUGCGGCUUAAUUUGACUCAACACGGGGAAACUUACCAGGUCCAGACAUAGUAAGGAUUGACAUACUGAGAGCUAUUUCUUGAUUCUAUGGGUGGUAAUGUAUGUCCAUUCUUAGUUGGUGGAGCGAUUUGUCUAGUUAAUUUCGUUAACAAACGAGACCUCAACCUACUAACUAGCUACACGGGGGUGAUCCUCCGUGGCUAGCUUCUUAGAGGGUCUAUGGCCACUUAGGCCAAGGAAGUUUGAGGCAAUAACAGGUAUGUGAUGCCCUUAUAUGUUCUAGACCGCACGCGCCCUACACUAAUGAAUUUAAUGAGUCUAUAGCCUUGGCCGACAGGCAUGAGUCAUCAGCUCACGUUGACUACGUCCCUGCCCUUUGGUCACACCUCCCGUCGCUCCUACCUAUUGAAUGAUCCGGUGAAGUGUUCGGAUCGCGACGACGUGGGCGGUUCGCUGCCCGCGACAUCGCGAGAAGUCCACUGAACCUUAUCAUUUAGAGGAAGGAGAAGUCGUAACAAGGUUUCUGUAGGUGAACCUGCGGAAG
rnacentral:rRNA from 1 species